AUGGAUGUGUAUAUGUUAAAAAAUAAUAGAAAUAUGCGAAAUUUAACUGUUCAAGUUUUGCAAAGAGCGACUUAUUUGGCUUGAGAGCAAAAGCUCACAAAAUGAUCUUUCAUCUAAAAAAGUAUAUGGUGUUUCGAAUAAAUAGGGGACCCAACUAUAACUAUAUUCAACAAAUAAGGGAUUAUAUUAACGCAUCAAAUAAAAAUAUUUUCAAACUAUAAGGGUGCUGUGGAACGUUUACACUCUUGCAUUUCUAGAAUUCGUUAAAAUUAAAAAAUAAAAAAAUUAUUAAAAACAAGUAAAGAAAGGCUAAGUUUGGAUGCAAUCGAAAAUUUUAUACUUUCGCAAUUUAUUGAAGAAAACAUACAAAUUUACCCAUAAAUUCGGCAUAAAGUUUAAUAGCAUAACAAAAAUCGUAAUUCCUGAACCGAUUUCAUUCAUUCUUACCAGCAAAGUACACUAUAUCCAAGACAUAUUAACCAAUACAUACAUGCGGAAUAGAGCCCACCGUAUUUUUGAAAACCCUUAAUUAGGUAUAUGAGAGCUAGAACAGAGACACACUAUUAGAGGAAAACAAUUUCCUCUGAAUUACAUUAAAUUAUCUGAGCAAUUACCCAUAUUUUAGGUUAAUAUUUACCCUUAUAGUCCGUUUUCGACAAAUUUUUCGCAAGUGAAGCCAGAGAUAAUAUGCACUGUUUGUGUACAGUUUUAUUCCGCUAUCUUCAUUAGUUCCUUAUGUAUAUAUUAUAAAGUGAAGGAAUAAGAUGGAGUUCAAAAUUAUGUUAUAAAGAAAGUAGUCGUGGUUGUGAACCGACUUCGCCCAUUUUAUCCGUGUUAUCAGUGUGUCAAGAAAAUAUUAUAUACCGAAUUUCAUUCAAAUCGGUCGAGUAGUUCCUGAGUUAUGGUUUUUGACCCAUAAGUAGGCGAUGCCACGCCCAUUUUCCAUUUUGUAAAAAAAUCUGAGUGCAGCUUCCUUUUGCUAUUUCUUCUGUAAAAUUGAGUGUUUCUGGUGUUUUUUGUUAGUGAGUUAACCCACUUUUAGUAAUUUUCAAACUGACCUUUGUAUGGGAGGUGAGCGUGGUUGUUAUCCGAUUUCAACUAUUUUCAUGGUGUGUGGUGGGGUACGUAAGAGAACCGACUGCAGAAAGUUUGGUUUAUAUAGUUUUAUUGGUUUGCGAGUUAUAUACAUAUAACAGAUUUGUGGGGGGGCACGCCCAAUUUCCCCAAAGAAUUACACCCAAAUAUGCCCCUUCCUAUUGCGAUCCUUUAUUCCAAAUUUUACUUUUACCACUUCAUUUAUGGCUUAGUUAUGACACUUUAUGUGUUUUUGGUUUUCGCCAUUUUAUGGGCGUGGUAACGGUCCGAUUUCGCCCAUUUUCGAAAGCAACCCUCUCAUGGUCCCAAGGAGUAUUUGUGCCAAGAUAUCCUAAUUUUUACUCAAGUUACAGCUUGCACAGACGGACAGACAGACAGACGGACAGACGGACGGAUGGACCGACGGACAGGCAUCCGGAUUUCAAAUCUACUCGUCACCCUUAUCACUUUGGUAUAUAUAACCCUAUAUCUAACUCUUUUAGUUAUCGGUGUUACAAACAACCGUUAUGUGAACAAAACUAUAAUACUCUCUUAGCAACUUUUGUUGCGAGAGUAUAAAAAUAUAUGAAUCUUUUAAAAUGUGUUGCAUAUGGAUAUAUUUUCGUUAUUCUGGUAUCCUAUUCACUUACUUCACAUCACUUACUAAACAAUUUAGUUUGUAUUACAGAUAUUUACGUAUAUUGCGAUAUAAACUCUACCAAAGGGACGAAAUAGAUUUCUAUUAAAUAUCACACACAUAUAAAUAUCACCUGUAUUAGUUGUAUAAAGUCAACCGGAAAUCCAUCCAUCAAAUCCUAAAUCCAUAUAAAGAAUGUAUAGUAGGUAAGAGUAGCUCUGAGAACAUGUUUCCUACAAUUUCGUUAGGGUAACUCACUAUUUGAACGAUACAGUUAGAACAUUCAUGAGCCGAUUUAGCAAAUUACGUCAUCUAACUGUAGUAUAUUUUAGCCUUAAUUUUGCUAAGAUAUCCAUCGAAAGUUUAUCUACUUCAGAGGCAUGUACGAGUAUAUAAACAUAAUAAAUUUGAAUUUUGAUCAUUAAAAAUUCCUGUAACACUGUAAAAUAACCGAACACAGUCGCAUAUGAAUAUAGUACAUAUAGCCACCACCAGACCAAUGUCAAGACUUAUUCGAGAUGAGAUCCACAUGAAAGUUACGUUUGUCAUAAAACGUUGCUAGCAAGUGGCAAUGCAGAAAUUUAUUCUACCACUGUUAAGCCUGAAGUGCUGAACACAAAGACGACGACACGACACGCUUUGAAGCCAGCGUCUUGAACAUUUUGAAGACGGCAGCGAUAUAUCAAAAAACAAUUUCAUUGUUGCCGUACUAAAAUCAUUCACUUCAAUAAAAUUAACAUAUUUAAUUUCAAGUGAAACUAUUUGUGCAAAAAAUGUAAAAAUUGUCGAUUUAUUUGUUUUAAAUAAUCGAUUGUUAUUAUAAAUGAUAUAUCUAAGCUAUUUUAAGUUUCUGCUGGCAAAAUAACGUUAUAUUUGUGAUAACUUUUAAUAAUUUUACAUUUCCAAUAUUAGUGGCUACUCUACGUCUGCCCAUUGUCGUCGCCUAAAUUAGAAACAUUUUUAAUUUAGCGACAAUGACAACUACAUGCCUGUUGUCGCGUAGUCAUGCUGUUGUCUAAUAAUCUGUGCUCAUAAGAACGCGUGUAUUUUAAUAUUUGACAGAUGUCGCUCGUCGCUUGUAGUCUGCUAUGUGUUCAGCACUUGAUAGUGACAGUGAAGAAACGCUUAUUCAUAUACAUAUGUAUUUGGGUAGUGAAUACUGAUAGAGAAAAACAAAUACAGUAGAAUCCGGAUAUAACGACCUUCAAGGGACCGGCGAUAUUAUGUCGUACUAACCGGAUGACGUAUAAAACGAAUAUUUACAUAUGUGUGUAAUUAUAUAUCAUAAGUGCGAAAGUUUGAUUUUCCUAUUUAGGUAAAUAAAACAUGUUGUAGGAAUCAGUUACAUAAGUUUAUUUUAAUUAUUCUUAUAUGCACACAAAUAAGUAGUACAUACCAAAUUACAACCAUAGGUACGUAAUGUACUGUAAUACUGUCACUAACGUAGGAAAUCUGUUAUUUGGCUUUGUUUUCGACAGACUUUUGUUCGGUAGUCAGAACUUCGGACAGCAUUGUGGGUUCGUGACAUCAUUGUUUUGAUAUGGUCAUCAUCAAAGUUAGUCUGAACAAAUACAUUAAGCGUUUCCGCAGCCUUCAGAGCUUCCGAUACACUCAAGGUUGGAUAAAACUCUGGUUCGUCAUCAUCAGCGUCGCUAUCUCUGCUAUUCGCGCCGUCGGCGAUGAUAUUAUCCACAAUGUUUUCAUCAGACGGCUCUUCACAAGUGGCGACAGCAUCAUCGACACGCGCGUAUUAUUCAAAGUCCUCGUUUGUUAUGGGUAACUGAUGCUUAUCAAUAGCCUUCGCACAAAUGCUCAGCGGCACGUCGUAUUCCCCGGUCGCGCUGAAGCUUAAACCACUGUAACAAUGCCUUAUCCAACUGCUCAUGAGUAAAAGUUCUUACACGUUUGCAUUUCAAAACAUUGGCAUUAAAUAGCGGCUCGAUCUUGUAAUUAUUCAUCUUUAUUGUGGAUAUUGUAGAAUGAGAUACGCCAUGAUGAAAACAUUGUGGAUAAAUUCCUUUGCGAGGGUCGCGUUUGAUUCACCAGCUUCUAAUCUGUGUAAUAUUGCACUCCUUUCUUCAAUUGUAAAACACUUUCUCUUCACAGAACUCAUUUUAUGGCGCUUUAUGAACUUGUCAUAACAGGUGACAAACACUAACUGUGAUUUACGCACGCCAAUAAGGAGAUUUGAAUUGAAGCGCGUCGUUUUAAACGAACGAAUUAUCGUAAAAAAUGUCGCUAUAAACGAUUUGUCGCUCAAACCGGAGUCGCACUAAACGGUUACAUUUUCUCAGUAUGUAACUAUUAAACCGAACUUGAGUAAAUAAUAUCGACGCUAAAAACGGUUAGUCGUUAUAAGCGACUUCGUUAUAAAUGAAUUCUACUGUAUGUAUAAAAUAUAAUUUAUAAAACUAUUAAUUUUAUUUCAACUGCUGAUAUAGUAAAUUCAAACAAUAUCCUAUAAGUUAUAUAUAUAAAAUAUAUUUUACAACUUUGUAUUUAUAAGGCAUAUUUGCGGGAUAUUUACAGAAAGAAUUUUUGCGAUUCUCACAUAGAUAAGCUUAAUUAUCCGUCGUAAUAUUCAGCACUUCUAAAAACAAUCCCAUUGGUGUUGAAGGAUUAAAGCUUUCCAUUGUAUUUACAACCUUGUUUUUAAUAUUU